rnacentral:rRNA from 1 species
AGAGUUUGAUCCUGGCUCAGGAUGAACGCUAGCGACAGGCUUAACACAUGCAAGUCGAGGGGCAGCGGGGUUGUAGCAAUACAACUGCCGGCGACCGGCGCACGGGUGAGUAACACGUAUGUAACCUGCCCUCUGCAGGGGGAUAAGCGGAAGAAAUUCCGUCUAAUACCGCAUGAUACAAUUUGGAGACAUCUCCGGGUUGUCAAAGGAGUGAUUCGGCAGAGGAUGGGCAUGCGGCGCAUUAGCUAGUCGGCGGGGUAACGGCCCACCGAGGCUACGAUGCGUAGGGGUUCUGAGAGGAAGGUCCCCCACACUGGUACUGAGACACGGACCAGACUCCUACGGGAGGCAGCAGUGAGGAAUAUUGGUCAAUGGGCGGAAGCCUGAACCAGCCAAGCCGCGUGAGAGAGGAAGGUACAGAGUAUCGUAAACCUCUUUUGUCAGGGAACAAAGACUGGGACGCGUCCCCGGAUGAGUGUACCUGAAGAAAAAGCAUCGGCUAACUCCGUGCCAGCAGCCGCGGUAAUACGGAGGAUGCGAGCGUUAUCCGGAUUUAUUGGGUUUAAAGGGUGCGCAGGCGGUCUGUUAAGUCAGCGGUCAAAGCCCGGGGCUCAACCCCGGCCCGCCGUUGAAACUGGCAGUCUCGAGUUGGAGAGAAGUAUGCGGAAUGCGCGGUGUAGCGGUGAAAUGCAUAGAUAUCGCGCAGAACUCCGAUUGCGAAGGCAGCAUGCCGGCUCCACACUGACGCUGAGGCACGAAAGCGUGGGUAUCGAACAGGAUUAGAUACCCUGGUAGUCCACGCAGUAAACGAUGAAUGCUGGCUGUCCGGGGGGACUGACCUCUGGGUGGCGAAGCGAAAGCGAUAAGCAUUCCACCUGGGGAGUACGCCGGCAACGGUGAAACUCAAAGGAAUUGACGGGGGCCCGCACAAGCGGAGGAACAUGUGGUUUAAUUCGAUGAUACGCGAGGAACCUUACCCGGGCUCAAACGGGGAGUGCCGCAGGCAGAGACGCCUGUUUCCCACGGGACACUCCCCGAGGUGCUGCAUGGUUGUCGUCAGCUCGUGCCGUGAGGUGUCGGCUUAAGUGCCAUAACGAGCGCAACCCCCGCGUGCAGUUGCUAACAGAUAACGCUGAGGACUCUGCACGGACUGCCGGCGCAAGCCGCGAGGAAGGCGGGGAUGACGUCAAAUCAGCACGGCCCUUACGUCCGGGGCGACACACGUGUUACAAUGGGUGGUACAGCGGGAAGCCAGGCGGCGACGCCGAGCGGAACCCGAAAUCCACUCUCAGUUCGGAUCGGAGUCUGCAACCCGACUCCGUGAAGCUGGAUUCGCUAGUAAUCGCGCAUCAGCCAUGGCGCGGUGAAUACGUUCCCGGGCCUUGCACUCACAGCCCGUCA